GCCUUGAUGGUGAAAUGGUAGACACGCGAGACUCAAAAUCUCGUGCGGAAGAGCGUGGAGGUUCGAGUCCUCUUCAAGGCA
rnacentral:tRNA from 1 species